rnacentral:rRNA from 1 species
GACGAACGCUGGCGGCGUGCUUAACACAUGCAAGUCGAACGCUGAAGCUCAGCUUUUGUUGGGUGGAUGAGUGGCGAACGGGUGAGUAACACGUGAGUAACCUGCCCCCUUCUUUGGGAUAACGCCCGGAAACGGGUGCUAAUACUGGAUAUUCACUGGUCUUCGCAUGGGGGUUGGUGGAAAGGGUUUUUCUGGUGGGGGAUGGGCUCGCGGCCUAUCAGCUUGUUGGUGGGGUGAUGGCCUACCAAGGCUUUGACGGGUAGCCGGCCUGAGAGGGUGUCCGGUCACAUUGGGACUGAGAUACGGCCCAGACUCCUACGGGAGGCAGCAGUGGGGAAUAUUGCACAAUGGGCGCAAGCCUGAUGCAGCGACGCCGCGUGAGGGAUGGAGGCCUCCGGGUUGUGAACCUCUUUCGCUCAUGGUCAAGCCGCAACAAUGGUUGUGGUGAGGGUAGUGGGUAAAGAAGCGCCGGCUAACUACGUG